rnacentral:rRNA from 1 species
UACGAAGGGGGCUAGCGUUGUUCGGAUUUACUGGGCGUAAAGCGCACGUAGGCGGAUCGUUAAGUCAGGGGUGAAAUCCCAGAGCUCAACUCUGGAACUGCCUUUGAUACUGGGUAUCUUGAGUAUGGAAGAGGUAAGUGGAAUUGCGAGUGUAGAGGUGAAAUUCGUAGAUAUUCGCAGGAACACCAGUGGCGAAGGCGGCUUACUGGUCCAUAACUGACGCUGAGGUG